rnacentral:rRNA from 1 species
GACGAACGCUGGCGGCGUGCUUAACACAUGCAAGUCGAACGGAAAGGCCCUGCUUUUGUGGGGUGCUCGAGUGGCGAACGGGUGAGUAACACGUGAGUAACCUGCCCUUGACUUUGGGAUAACUUCAGGAAACGGGGGCUAAUACCGGAUAGGAGCUCCUGCUGCAUGGUGGGGGUUGGAAAGUUUCGGCGGUUGGGGAUGGACUCGCGGCUUAUCAGCUUGUUGGUGGGGUAGUGGCUUACCAAGGCUUUGACGGGUAGCCGGCCUGAGAGGGUGACCGGCCACAUGGGGAAUGAGAGACGGCCCAGACUCCUACGGGAGGCAGCAGUGGAGAAUAUUGAACAAUGGGCGGAAGCAUGAUGCAGCAACGCCGCGUGCGGGAUGACGGCCUUCGGGUUGUAAACCGCUUUCGCCUGUGACGAAGCGUGAGUGACGGUAAUGGGUAAAGAAGCACCGGCUAACUACGUG